GAGAGUUUGAUCCUGGCUCAGAUUGAACGCUGGCGGCAUGCCUUACACAUGCAAGUCGAACGGUAACAGGUCUUCGGAUGCUGACGAGUGGCGAACGGGUGAGUAAUACAUCGGAACGUGCCCGAGAGUGGGGGAUAACGAAGCGAAAGCUUUGCUAAUACCGCAUACGAUCUCAGGAUGAAAGCAGGGGACCGCAAGGCCUUGCGCUCACGGAGCGGCCGAUGGCAGAUUAGGUAGUUGGUGGGAUAAAAGCUUACCAAGCCGACGAUCUGUAGCUGGUCUGAGAGGACGACCAGCCACACUGGGACUGAGACACGGCCCAGACUCCUACGGGAGGCAGCAGUGGGGAAUUUUGGACAAUGGGCGCAAGCCUGAUCCAGCCAUGCCGCGUGCAGGAUGAAGGCCUUCGGGUUGUAAACUGCUUUUGUACGGAACGAAAAGACUCUGGUUAAUACCUGGG
rnacentral:rRNA from 1 species